rnacentral:tRNA from 1 species
GGUAAGAUGGCUGAAUGUUCUAGGCGUUAGGCUGUAGUCCUUUUUACAGGGGUUUAAUUCCCCUUCUUACCA